rnacentral:misc_RNA from 1 species
UCCGGUUUGUCACCGGCAGUCUCAUUAGAGUGCCCACCCGUAGUGCUGGCAACUAAGAUCAAGGGUUGCGCUCGUUGCGGGACUUAACCCAACAUCUCACGACACGAGCUGACGACAACCAUGCACCACCUGUCUCUCUUGUCCCGAAAGCCUAGACUAUCUCUAAUCUAUUCAAGAGGAUGUCAAGACCUGGUAAGGUUCUUCGCGUUGCUUCGAAUUAAACCACAUACUCCACUGCUUGUGCGGGUCCCCGUCAAUUCCUUUGAGUUUCAGUCUUGCGACCGUACUCCCCAGGCGGAAUGCUUACUGUGUUAACUUCGGCACCAAGGGUAUUGAAACCCCUAACACCUAGCAUUCAUCGUUUACGGCGUGGACUAC